rnacentral:rRNA from 1 species
GACGAACGCUGGCGGCGUGCUUAACACAUGCAAGUCGAACGGAAAGGCCCUGCUUUUGUGGGGUGCUCGAGUGGCGAACGGGUGAGUAACACGUGAGUAACCUGCCCUUGACUUUGGGAUAACUUCAGGAAACUGGGGCUAAUACCGGAUAGGAGCUCCUGCUGCAUGGUGGGGGGUGGAAAGUUUCGGCGGUUGGGGAUGGACUGGCGGCUUAUGAGCUUGUUGGUGGGGGAGUGGCUUACCAAGGCUUUGACGGGUAGCCGGCCUGAGAGGGUGGACGGCGACAUUGGGACUGCGGGACGGAGCAGACGCGUACGUGAGGCAGCAGGGGGGAGUAUUGCCCAAUGAUCGGACGCCUGAUGCGGCAGCGUCGCGUGCGGGAUGACGGUUUUCGGGUUGUGAACCGCUUCAGCCUGAGACGACGCGUGAGUGACGGUACUGGGUGAAGAAGCACCGGCUAACUUCGUG